rnacentral:rRNA from 1 species
GACGAACGCUGGCGGCGUGCUUAACACAUGCAAGUCGAACGAUGAUCUCCCGCUUGCGGGGGUGAUUAGUGGCGAACGGGUGAGUAAUACGUGAGUAACCUGCCCUUGACUCUGGGAUAAGCCUGGGAAACCGGGUCUAAUACUGGAUACUACUUCCUGCCGCAUGGUGGGGGGUGGAAAGGGUUUUACUGGUUUUGGAUGGGCUCACGGCCUAUCAGCUUGUUGGUGGAGUAAUGGCUCACCAAGGCGACGACGGGUAGCCGGCCUGAGAGGGUGAGCGGCGACACUGAGACUGAGGCACGGCCCAGGCUGCGACGGGAGGCAGCAGGGGGGAAUAUUGCACAAGGGGCGGAGGCCUGAUGCAGCGACGCCGCGUAAGGGAUGACGGCCUUCGGGUGGAAAACCUCAUUCAGCAGGGAAGAAGCCAGAAGUGACGGUACCUGCAGAAGAAGCGCCGGCUAACUACGUG